AGGCCUAGAGAGAGAGGCAGGAUCUUAUCCACAGCCUUGAUGGCAGCUGUAGAUCAGCAGUUGCCUCUCUCUUUCUCUCCA
rfam:Myotis lucifugus cont2.10755, whole genome shotgun sequence.